rnacentral:rRNA from 1 species
AGCAGCCGCGGUAAUUCCAGCUCCAAUAGCGUAUAUUAAAGUUGUUGCAGUUAAAAAGCUCGUAGUUGAAUUUCGGGAUUCAUCCGUUGGUCGGGCUUCACGGUCCGUACUGGUGUGAUGGGUUCCUACCUUCUGAAUAACCGGCAUGCCAUUAAUUUGGUGCGCCGGGGAAGCAGAACUAUUACCUUGAAAAAAUUAGAGUGCUUAAAGCAGGCAAGUGCCUGAAUAGGUUAGCAUGGAAUAAUAAAAUAGGACGGCAUGGUUCUAUUUUGUUGGUUUCUAGGAUCACCGUAAUGAUUAAUAGGGAUAGUUGGGGGCAUUAGUAUUCAAUUGUCAGAGGUGAAAUUCUUGGAUUUAUUGAAGACUAGCUUCUGCGAAAGCAUUUGCCAAGGAUGUUUUCAUUAAUCAAGAACGAAAGUUAGGGGAUCGAAGACGAUCAGAUACCGUCGU